UACGGAGGGGGCUAGCGUUGUUCGGAAUUACUGGGCGUAAAGCGCACGUAGGCGGCUUUGUAAGUUAGAGGUGAAAGCCCAGGGCUUAACUCUGGAAUUGCCUUUAAGACUGCAUCGCUAGAAUCGUGGAGAGGUGAGUGGAAUUCCGAGUGUAGAGGUGAAAUUCGUAGGUAUUCGGAAGAACACCAGUGGCGAAGGCGACUCACUGGACACGUAUUGACGCUGAGGUGCGAAAGCGUGGGGAGCAAACAGG
rnacentral:rRNA from 1 species